rnacentral:lncRNA from 1 species
CUAUUUUUAUCGAAUAUCAUAACCCUCAAGUAUGAUGAACGAGAAAAUACUAAUUUUCUUAGUGGGGUUGAGAUCCAAAUUUCUUAUAAAAGACCUUGUGGGAAUCACAACAAGCCCUUAUAAGUUCAAAGGUAGGAAACUCUUUCCAAUUGCAUCCCAUGCAAUUCCCAACUUUAUCCUAUCCUCUAGCACACAUAUAAUCUUGUGGGAAUCACAACAAACUAUUGUGUCUAGUUAAGUCAAACCCUUCAUUUUUAUACAAUCAUAUU